GCGGAUAUAGCUCAGUUGGUAGAGCAUUAGCUUCCCAAGCUAAGGGUCGCGGGUUCGAAUCCCGUUGUCCGCUCCA
rnacentral:tRNA from 1 species